rnacentral:rRNA from 1 species
GACGAACGCUGGCGGCGUGGAUUAGGCAUGCAAGUCGAACGGUAUGGACCUUUCGGGGUUCAGAGAGUGGCGAACGGGUGAGUAACACGUAGGUAAUCUACCCUCAAGACGGGGACAACCCAGGGAAACUUGGGCUAAUACCGGAUGUGAGCAACUUUUAGUUGUUUGAAAGGUGGCGUAAGCUGUCGCUUGGGGAUGAGCCUGCGUCCUAUUAGUUAGUUGGUGAGGUAACGGCUCACCUAGGCAAUGAUAGGUAGGCGGCCUUAACGGGUGGUCGCCCACACUGGGAUUGAGAUACGGCCCAGACUCCUACGGGAGGCAGCAGUCGAGAAUAGUCUACAAUGGUCGGAAGACUGAUAGUGCGACGCCGCGUGAACGUGAAUCCCUUCGGGGUGUAAAGUUCUUUUAAUGUGAGCAGUGCUUCUUAUAUUAACAGUAUGGGGAAGAGAUAUUAGCAUAUGAAUAAGCAACGGCUAACUCCGUGCCAGCAGCCGCGGUAAUCUGU